UACGUAGGGUGCAAGCGUUAAUCGGAAUUACUGGGCGUAAAGCGUGCGCAGGCGGUUUUGUAAGCCAGAUGUGAAAUCCCCGGGCUUAACCUGGGAAUGGCAUUUGGGACUGCAAGGCUUGAGUGCGGCAGAGGAGACUGGAAUUCCUGGUGUAGCAGUGAAAUGCGUAGAUAUCAGGAGGAACACCUAUUGCGAAGGCAGCUCGCUGGGACGUAACUGACGCUGAGACGCGAAAGCGUGGGGAGCAAACAGG
rnacentral:rRNA from 1 species